UCCAGCCGUGCGGCGUUAGCGGUGGUCGUUCGCGAAGCCGACCUGCGGACAGCGCCUGCGAGGGCGGGGAGGGGGAGGGCACCCAGCGGUCGUGCCCUUUGACUUGACCUCCACUCCGCCCGCCGCCGGCUCGGAGGGCCACCAGGGGUCCGGCGCUGGUGCGCACGGGCCGGGCGGCUCUGACCGACCCGGCUCUUGGCCCCUGCUGGAAAGAGAAGAUGAAGCCUUUCACUGCCUUCCCUGCGCGUAGAAACUAAUUAAUAGGACGCACUGGUUUCUGGGUUAAAAGCGGUCCUGGAAUUCCCCCGCGUCCCGGACGAUGAGGCGGUGCCGGCCCCGAAGACAAUCGGGAAAUCGCCGUGUGCCCCACUUAAGUACAAUUCACCUUUCCGUCCUCUCUCCUUCCCCCAUUUAACGGAGUCGGGGCGACCAGCCAGAACGCGGGGACCAGCUUAGUUGGCUGAGCUGACGGGAUAACGGAGGCUGUCACUGAGAAAAAUGCGCUGUAAUCGACAGUCGCUGCAACCCUCGGUCAGGGAGCCUGCUGCGGCGGCAGAGAUAGUACUAUCAGCAGCCAUGCUUUUGUUCUUGCCUGCAGCUGACUUCCCGCUCCGCUCCGACGGCGCUCCGCUCCCGGGAGGACGCAGGACGACGUCCUUGUUAAAGUUUGAAUGGACAACACAUAUGUGCACAUGGGCUUUUAGAUCCGCAGCACUCUCCCCUCGUUUCCCAUACCUUUCUCUGAAAUAUUUUUUAAAUGACCUAAGCCAGACAACAUCGUGCUGUUCAUGAAUGCCAAGAUCUUAACACAGGCAAAGGUUUAGUUAAAGGUCAUAUUCCAGAGAAAGAGAGAAUGAAAGAGGAAAAAAGAGAGAAAAAAAUCUGAUUGUUCCACUUCACCAUUUUAUGCCAGAUCGUGCCAUAAAUCAUUGACUAGCAUGGAAAAGGCAGAUAACCCAACAACAACAAAAAAUGGCCAAAAGUCUUAAAUAGGCACUACGCAUACACGCACACAAAUCCCAUAUCCAAAUGGUCAAUGAGCAUGUGUGCAUGUGUCAAAUUGAGCACGUGAAAAGAUGCUCAAACCAAUUAGUCAUCAGGGAAAUGCAAAUAAAGACCACAGUGGGAUACUACUACACACCUAUCAGACUGGUUAAAAUUAAAAGGACUAACUAUAUUAAUGAUUGACAACUAAAUCAUACACUGCCAAUGAGAGUAUCAAUUUGAAUAACUGCUUUAAAAAACCCUUUAUUAGUAUCUGCUGAAUGUGAACAUACACAAUUCACUCCAGAAAUAUAUCCAAAAGAACUGUGUAUAUGUUUUCACCAAAAGACACAUAUUUAAAUGUUAGUGGCCAUACUGUUCUCAUAGCCCAGGGUGGCCAGGCCAUAUUUGGGAUCUACUAAAAAUAUUGUUGGUUUGUCUAAAAUUCCAAUUUUAACUGGGAAUUCUAUAUUUUUACUUGCUGAAUAUGGUAACGCCCUAAAUUUAUAGCCCCAAACUAGAAACAACACAGUUGUUUAUGCAAAGUAGAAUGAAUAUGUAGAUUGUGGCAUAGGCAUAUAAUUCAUACUAUAUAGCAGAAGUUGGAAAACUUUUUCUGUAAUGGACUAGAUAGUAAGGUCUUAUGGGCCAUGUGAUCUCUGUUUUAACUACUCAACUCUGCCAUUGUAGUAUGAAAGCAGCCAAGAUGUAAAGAAAUGGGCAUGCCUGUGUUCUAAUAAAACUUUAUUUACAAAAUCA